UCUCCGUUGGUGAACCAGCGGAGGGAUCAUUACUGGAAUCGCAAGAUCCCACAACCCUGUGAACCUACCGAAACGUUGCCUCGGCGGGUGCCCGGCCUCUGCGCCGGGCGCGGCGCCCGCCGGCGGCCCCCUACUCUGUCUCUGCAGCGUGGCAUCUCAGAGUCCCAGAAAACAAGUCAAAACUUUCAACAACGGAUCUCUUGGCUCUA
rnacentral:misc_RNA from 1 species